GACGAACGCUGGCGGCGUGCUUAACACAUGCAAGUCGAACGGAAAGGCCCUGCUUUUGUGGUGUGCUCGAGUGGCGAACGGGUGAGUAACACGUGAGUACCCUGCCUUUGACUUUGGGAUAACUUCAGGAAACUGGGGCUAUUCCCCGAUAGGAGCUCCUGCUGCAUGGUGGGGGUUGGAAAGUUUCGGCGGUUGGGGCUGGACGGGCGGCUUAUCAGCUUGUUGGGGGGGUAGUGGCUUACCAAGGCUUUGCCGGAUAGCCGACAUGAGAGGGUGGCCAGGCACAAGGGGCCUAAGAUAGGGAGCAGUCGGCAAUGGGAGGCAGUGGUGGGGAACAUGACACAGUGGGGGGAAGCGUGAUGAAGCGGCCCCGCGUGUGUGAAGCCGGUCUGCGCGGUAUGAACCGCUUUGGCCUGUGACGAAGCGUGAGUGACGGUAACGGGUGAAGAAGCACCGGCUAACUACGUG
rnacentral:rRNA from 1 species